rnacentral:rRNA from 1 species
GUGUCAGCCGCCGCGGUAAGACAGAGGCCUCGAGCGUUAGGCGGAAUCACUGGGCUUAAAGCGUGUGUAGGCGGAAGCGUAAGUACCUUGUGAAAUCCCACGGCUCAACCGUGGAACUGCUGGGUAUACUGCGUUUCUUGAGCAAUCUAGGGGCGAGUGGAACGGAUGGUGGAGCGGUGAAAUGCAUAGAUAUCAUCCGGAACGCCUGUGGUGAAGACGACUCGCUGGGGAUUUGCUGACGCUGAGACACGAAAGCCAGGGGAGCAAACGGGAUUAGAAACCCCCGUAGUCC